GACGAACGCUGGCGGCGUGCCUAAUACAUGCAAGUCGAACGCAGUGGGGACGGGUGAGUAACACGUGGGUCACCUCCCAUCAGAGGGGAUAAAACUUGGAAACAGCUGCAUAACCGAUACUGAUGGAUGGACCCGCGGUGCAUUAGCUAGUUGGGGGGGUAACGGCUCACCAAGGCCACGAGGCAUAGCCGACCUGAGAGGGUGAUCGGCCACACUGGUACUGAGACACGGCCCAGACUCCUACGGGAGGCAGCAGUGGGGAAUAUUCGGCAAUGGACGAAAGUCUGACCGAGCAACGCCGCGUGUGUGAAGAAGGUUUUCGGAUCGUAAAGCUCUGGUGGUAGAGAAGCGGUACCUAACCAGAAAGCCACGGCUAACUCCGUGCCAGCAGCCGCGGUAAUUC
rnacentral:rRNA from 1 species